AUAUAUUAUCGGAUAGUAAUUAUUUUAAGGUUUGUAAAAUUUAUGGUUUUAGUAAAAAAAUUUGUUAAAAUGUUUGUAUUGUGAAAGAAUUUUUGUUUGGUUAGCGAGAGAGAAAAUAUAUAUUAUUUUAAGAAUGUUUAAAGCUUGUACUUUUUGGAUAAUGGUUUGUAGAGAGUAUUAUAAUAUUUGUGUUCUUGAAAACUUUAGAGCUAUUAUUUUUUUAUUUUUUGUGGCAAAAAAAAGUAAUAAGAAGAUAAUAGAGAUGAAAUGUUUGUCGAAAAAGUUGAUAGCUAGUUUAGAAAUAAACAUAUUUUAGUAUGGGGUACAUUUAAUAAUUUUUUUUUGAAAUUAUUAUUUAAUGUUUACUCAGGUCUUAAGGGGUAAGCUUUAAGGCUUUGAAUGUUUAAAUUUAGUUAAGUGAGAUUAGUGUUGUUUAUCUUUUAGAUUUUGUAAAAAAAUUAUUUGUUAAAAUGAAUUAUUUUAUUAUUUCUAUAAUUAUAAAAAUUUUUUGUAAUUAGAUUAGUAUAAAAUUAGUAAUAAUGAGUUAAAUGGUUAAAUAAAAAUUUUUAUCGUAAAAUUAAAAUAUUAUAAUAUUUUGUUGAAAUUUUGAUUUAUUUAGUUAAUUUUAAUUAAGUUAAAAUUAAAGUUUGUUUAUAUUUAUGUUAAAGGAACUCGGCAAAAAUUUCUUAUGCCUGUUUAUUAAACACAUGGUCUUUUGUUUUUAUGAUAUAAAAGAUCGUACCUGCCCUGUGAUUUUAUAAUUUAACGGAUGGAUUUGUGUUAAAGUAGCACAGUAAAUAGCCCUUUGAUUGAGGGAGUGGAAUGAAUGGUUUGACAUAAGGAUUCUGUCUUUAGGAUAAUGUAAUAGAAAUUCCUUUUUAAGUGAAAAAGCUUAAAUAUUUGUAAAAGACGAGAAGACCCUAUCGAACUUAAUUAUUAUUAAAUAAUAUAAACCAUGUUUUAAUUAUUAUUUUAUAUUUAAGUAUAAUUGUGUAGUUUUAUGUGUGUAGUGUAAAAGAUAUUUAUUAAAAAUUUUUAUUGGGGCAAUUAAAAUAUGAAACCAUAUUUUUGUUUUAUUAUAGACCCUAUAAGAUGGCCUUAAGCAAAAGUUACCGUAGGGAUAACAGCGUAAUUCUUUUUGAGAGAUCUUAUUGAGAAAAGAGUUUGCGACCUCGAUGUUGAAUUAAGGAAACUUUUCGGUUGCAGAAGCUGAAAUAGUGAAACUGUUCGUUUUUUAAUUCUUUACAUGAUUUGAGUUAAAUUCGGCGUAAGCUAGAGUGGUUUCUAUCUUUAUUUAUGAGUCUUUAUUGUACGAAAGGAUUUGAAGAUUGAGUGAAAACUUUUUAAAUAGUUUAAUGUUUACUUUUU
rnacentral:rRNA from 1 species